rnacentral:rRNA from 1 species
UACCAGCUCUCCGAGUGGUAGGGAUGAUUAUUGGGCUUAAAGCGUCCGUAGCCGGCUUAGCAAGUCUCCUGUUAAAUUCAGCGACCUAAUCGUUGAGCCGCGGGAGACACUACUAGGCUAGGAGGCGGGAGAGGCCGACGGUAUUCUCGGGGUAGGGGUGAAAUCCUAUAAUCCCGGGAGGACCACCAGUGGCGAAGGCUGUCGGCUAGAACGCGCUCGACGGUGAGGGACGAAAGCUGGGGGAGCGAACCGGAUUAGAUACCCGGGUAGUCCCAGCUGUAAACGAUGCGGGCUAGGUGUUGGGGUGGCUACGGGCCACUUCAGUGCCGCAGGAAAGCCAUUAAGCCCGCCGCCUGGGGAGUACGGCCGCAAGGCUGAAACUUAAGGAAUCGGCGGGGAGCACCACAAGGCGUGAAGCUUGCGGUUC